rnacentral:rRNA from 1 species
GGCUCAGGACGAACGCUGGCUGCGUGCUUAACACAUGCAAGUCGAACGCUGAAGCCGACAGCUUGCUGUUGGUGGAUGAGUGGCGAACGGGUGAGUAACACGUGAGUAACCUGCCCCUGAUUUCGGGAUAAGCCUGGGAAACUGGGUCUAAUACCGGAUACGACCUCCUGACGCAUGUUGGGUGGUGGAAAGUUUUUCGAUCGGGGAUGGGCUCGCGGCCUAUCAGCUUGUUGGUGGGGUAAUGGCCUACCAAGGCGACGACGGGUAGCCGGCCUGAGAGGGCGACCGGCCACACUGGGACUGAGACACGGCCCAGACUCCUACGGGAGGCAGCAGUGGGGAAUAUUGCACAAUGGGGGAAACCCUGAUGCAGCGACGCAGCGUGCGGGAUGACGGCCUUCGGGUUGUAAACCGCUUUCAGCAGGGAAGAA